AUGAUUUGUGCUUCAAAAUUGUCCAUGAAGUCUGAUACUGGUUGUAUACACCAAUUAGUAAUGCCUUCUAUAGAGAUGGCACAUUACAUGGUCCCUCCUUCCCCCCGUCUCUCUCUGAGUGUGUGUGUGUGUGUGUGUGUGUGUGUGUGUGUGUGUGCACGUGCCCAUGCGUGCACUGACAGCAAUUAUACAUGUGUUCAUGCCCUUAUUGUGUUUGCUUGCCUUCGCUUUGGCUAUUUGAUUAUCGAUCUUGAUAUAGUUUUGUUUUCUUGGUUUAUUUGGUGGUACAUUUUUACUGCUGUAUAUUUUGCGUGUUACUUGGAUUUGCCCUUGGCCCAAUGA
rnacentral:rRNA from 1 species